rnacentral:lncRNA from 1 species
UCUUCGAUUCGUCGCGGGUUUUAGAAGUGGAGGAAGCAGCUAGCUUUUUCGACCAAUCCGCGCUAACAGUUAGACGAUGCUGUGAUACUGUGUAAAUUUCAAUGCAGUAUUGAAAGUGGCAUCGUUAGGACGUAUGACGCAAUAUCACUCACAAGAUCAAACUAAUUUCCUCGAAUCCAAGAAUUAUAUAAUAUUGUACUUUGCUAUGAAAUAAGCUCAUCAAACGGUUCUGGCCCUUGUAUAGAAUAUUUUAUCCAACAAAAAGCGAGAUAUUAAAAGUUCCUUAUGAUCCCCUGACCUACAGUUCGACGAACGAUACUAUAAACAGUGUAUAAAAACAUCUAUCUGCUUGAAAUUUGUCCUUGACCGAGAAGCAUUCGCUGCCUCUCUGCCCGCCUGCACCCGUCCAGAUGUUAAUUGUUCGGAACAGUUUUGCUAACUCUCAGUGCUGGGUAGCAUUGUGCCACUGGAAAUCAUGACAUGUGAUUCGUCAACCAUAAGGACCUUUACGAAAAUCUCCGUGCUAUCGCGGGCUUUGGAAAUGGCGGGAAGAGCUAGGUCUCUCGGAAAAUCCGCUGACAACUAGGCGAAGCCAUGAUAUGGUGGGGUCAUUCUCCUUUUGUACGUCACGGCAACUGGACGUGAGAUCGAAUUCAGAUUGAUUCCAAGGAUCACGUAGAACGUAUUAAACGCACCAACGGUCGUAUUGGAGGAUGAGCAGCAGACACCGCGAUGAUUAAUCUCUGAUGACUGGAAUGGCCUGAUAGCAUAAGAGUUUCAAAGAAGGAACGGCAUAUUGACAAGUGGCCGACUUUACAGCUUUUCAUUGAAAGCUGGUAAUUCCUAACGUAUUAUCAUACAAUAAACGUAUUAUAUUUUUGAUGUGUCAUUCUUGAUAUUUAAUACAAAAUUUGCAAACAUUACAUAAUUUCUUAGGAUCUUUUCGAUAAAACUGGAAAGAAGUUAAAUUGUUAAAUAUUCGUGC